GGAAGGAUGGCCGAGCGGUUUAAGGCACCGGUCUUGAAAACCGGCGUGGCGAAUAACCACCGUGAGUUCGAAUCUCACUCCUUCCGCCA
rnacentral:tRNA from 1 species